GGAGACGGCAUCAUAAAAUUGUCAACUUUUUGUGUUUAUAAUCGCGAAAAUUGGCGAUUUUAUUUUGCUUUUGCGGUGCCUGUCUCUUGUUGUCGGUUGCGUUGAAGGAUUUACGUGCGUGGCGUCAGGAUGAUGGAAUCGCAUAUCUGUAUCUGCUUGUUUACCUCGCAAGUUUUACGUUUUUCUGUGAGUCCUUUAUUAAUUUUGCAUCAUAUUCUUAUUGAUUUUCCUUUCUUUACAGGUUAUCGGAAAAUAAUUGAACGUACCAUACUGCGGAAAAUUAUGCAUUUUAGAGACGGAUUUUGAGACUUUUUAAAAAAUGGUGUCAGCUCCGCGCUAGUGAUCCUUAAACGUGCAGUGGCAUCAAGAGGUGGAGACGGCGUCGUAAAGUUGUCAAUUUUUUGGGUUUAUAAUCGCGAUAGCUGCCGGUUUUGUUUUUCUAUUGUGGAGACCGCCUCUUCUUGUAGGUUGCAUUGGAUCACCAUUAGGCUGUGGUCAAGGAGGUAAGAGCAAUAUUUGAUUGUUUUGUUUAAUUUUUUAUUGGUUAAUUGUUUUGUUUUCAGGUUUUAGCGUCAAUUAAUGUAGGCGCUCGUCGUUCUGGGAUCGGCCCGUCUAUUGCAGCGCAGCAUGCAAGUAGGUUGUAUCGGUGAUAAGAGAUACUACCAGGGACUGUGUGGCAAGAAGAUUCAGGUUCAGCUAGAGUGCGUUGUCUUAGGCUUGUUCAUCCGGAUGCGUUGAGGAAAGUUAGGCUGG